rnacentral:rRNA from 1 species
AAUGAACCCGCGGCGCAUUAGCUAGUUGGUGGGGUAAUGGCUCACCAAGGCGACGAUGCGUAGCCGACCUGAGAGGGUGAUCGGCCACACUGGGACUGAGACACGGCCCAGACUCCUACGGGAGGCAGCAGUAGGGAAUCUUCCGCAAUGGACGAAAGUCUGACGGAGCAACGCCGCGUGAGUGAUGAAGGUUUUCGGAUCGUAAAGCUCUGUUGUUAGGGAAGAACAAGUGCGAGAGUAACUGCUCGCACCUUGACGGUACCUAACCAGAAAGCCACGGCUAACUACGUGCCAGCAGCCGCGGUAAUACGUAGGUGGCAAGCGUUGUCCGGAAUUAUUGGGCGUAAAGGGCUCGCAGGCGGUUUCUUAAGUCUGAUGUGAAAGCCCCCGGCUCAACCGGGGAGGGUCAUUGGAAACUGGGAAACUUGAGUGCAGAAGAGGAGAGUGGAAUUCCACGUGUAGCGGUGAAAUGCGUAGAGAUGUGGAGGAACACCAGUGGCGAAGGCGACUCUCUGGUCUGUAACUGACGCUGAGGAGCGAAAGCGUGGGGAGCGAACAGGAUUAGAUACCCUGGUAGUCCACGCCGUAAACGAUGAGUGCUAAGUGUUAGGGGGUUUCCGCCCCUUAGUGCUGCAGCUAACGCAUUAAGCACUCCGCCUGGGGAGUACGGU